UUAUCCUUUAAGAGUAGUCCCGUGAGGCUAAGAAGGUAACAUGCAGAAUCUACUAAGUGCGCUUAGUAUCGAGCUGCGUGUAAUGGAUGGUAUCUUUGUAUAGAUUGUUCAAUCCUCCUACCUAAUUACGGGUAGGAGGAUUUUUGUU
rfam:Enterococcus termitis strain LMG 8895 9, whole genome shotgun sequence.